AUUGAACGCUGGCGGCAGGCUUAACACAUGCAAGUCGAGCGAGCGGCGGACGGGUGAGUAAUGUCUGGGAAACUGCCUGAUGGAGGGGGAUAACUACUGGAAACGGUAGCUAAUACCGCAUACCAUCAGAUGUGCCCCGAUGGGAGUAGCUAGUUGGUGGGGUAAUUGCUCACCAAGGCGUCGCUCCCUAGCUGGUCUGAGAGGAUGUCCAGCCACACUGUAACUGAGACACGGCCCAGACUCCUACGGUAGGCAGCAGUGGGGAAUAUUGCACAAUGGGCGCAAGCCGGAUGCAGCCAUGCCGCGUGUGUGAAGAAGGCCUUCGGGUUGUAAAGCACUUUCAGCGAGGAGGCGUUACUCGCAGAAGAAGCACCGGCUAACUCCGUGCCAGCGGCCGCGGUAAUAC
rnacentral:rRNA from 1 species